CUUGGUGGCAACGCCCGUUCACUACCUUCAUCUUGUGAACAUCAAUGCUUUAACUAUCUAAAAAUCAAUGAAUUACCAACAAAAGAACGUUACAAAUUGUUUUGUGAAUAUUCCGAUUAUAUUUAAAUAAGUGAUUUACCAUUUAAAUAACGUUUUCUCUGUUUGUGUUCAGUAUUCUCGGUCCUCGUAUCUUUCUGUUUACAUUCACCAAAACCCCGCGGAAAUCUCACAUGCGUAGGUGCG
rnacentral:lncRNA from 1 species